rnacentral:lncRNA from 1 species
UAUGGAGGUUUGCUCGGGAGCAGAGAGGUCUGGCCAGCAACUCUUGGAGCUACGGGUGUGCUUUUCAUGGGCCAUGAGAGGAGGUGAAGCAGCCUGCUUGGAAGAGAGGAAAGGAGCUUUUUGUCUAGUUUGGAAGACAGGUGAUAUGAAAGGUUUUGGUCCUCUGAACAUCACUCUAUCAGGUACUCUAUAAUUCAGUGGUCCCAUCUUUUUUGACAAAUGAAUGUUAGAAGACGUGUCAUUAUCCCUCCGUCAUUCACCACUCUCCUAAAUGACAAACUCUCUUUGAACCUUUGUCCUUAACUCAUAACUGAGACAUUUCAUCUGCUCAGGUUCCAGUUCUUGUGCCACUAGUGUUGAGAGAAAAUGUUAACCUCUGACAAAAUGUGUGUUCAUUCAUGUACUUGUCACACUUAUUCUUCAAUGGCACUUCCCAGAAAUGAGAGGAGAGCACAUAAGUAGGAGCACAACUGGAGCACAGCUCUCAUCCUUCUUGUUUUUGUGGAUCUGCAAGAAGAGUAAGAAGCGCCUGUACAGAGUUCCUGUUUCAGGAGACUGAGUAGCUUCUGCGUGACAGCAAUGAAUUCACAUGUGUGUCUGCUGAAAUAUUUGAGGGGAUCUCAGAAAAUUCAGCUGAAACAAUUAAGUGACAUCAAAGGACCUAAAAGGAAAAUGUUGGCACAAUUCCUUUACAGCAGAAGGAAAUUGAGAUGCAAAUCAAGCCUUUUUCUCCACCUGGGAUGCUGAAGCCACGCAAUUCUGUAACUCUGUAAUCUUGGCUGAUGCUGAGAUGUGCUGAAAUGACAUCUAAUUCCUAACCUAGAACAUAAAGAGGUCACAUUAAGGAAGUGAAGUUUGUAUUUUUGUAGGUCUUAGCAUGAUCAUUAGAGUAAAUAAAAUUAUCACUAAACAGACCCA